CAGGAUGAUUUCAUUUUAUAGAUGUACUUCCGUAUAUUGUUUGAAAUGUUGUAUUCAGGGAAGAAGUAUUUUGACACAAAUUUAAAAGCAAACAGAUUCGGAAAAGUAAUGUAGGCAUGUAUUCAUUGCUUCAGAAAAGCAUUUCUUUUAUUCUAUGUGUAAACAGGAAGUAGGAAAAAUAGAAUUGGAAGUGUCUUUAUCUGCACAUGUGUGUUUCCAUGUCUCCUUCAGCUCGAUCACCCUGAGUGCUCCCACUCUCACAGGAGGUACUUUAUCUUCAGUUCAUACCAAAGCUGGACUUCCAAUCUCAGGUUUAUAUUUUCAUCUUAUUAGUUCUAGUUGUGAUGUUUGUGUUAUGUGCCAACUUGGCUGGCCAUGAGGUGCCCAGAUUAAAGAGGAUUCUGGCUGUGGCUGUGAGGGUGUUUCUGGAUUAGGCUGGUAUUUGGAUUGGUGGACACAGUAGACUGUCCUCCUCACUGUGAGAGGGGCUCAUCUGCUUAAAGCCUGGAUAGAACAAAAAGCAGAGGGAGGGAGUUCCCUGGUGGUCUAGCGGUUGGGACUCAGUGCUGUCACUACUGCGGCUUGGGUUCAAUCUCUGGUCUGGGAACUGAGAUCUCACAUCAAGCGACUACACGCUGUGGAAAGAAAAAAAAAAGGCAGAGGGAGGAGGAAUUCUCUUUUGCCUCCUGCUGCAGUGCCUGACCUCUCAUCUCAUCCUCGCUGACCCUCACCCCACAAUUGAAGCCAUCAGCCUCCCUGGUUUUCAGGCCUUUGGAACCUCUCAGCCUCCAUAACUGCAGGAUUGAGAUGAUUCUCCUUUUACAUGCAAAUACACAUCAGACUGUUUCUGUUUCUCUGGAGGACCCUCAAUAAAACAAUAGUGACUUAGGCAUAUUUUAACAUGUUUAUUACUCAUAUGUAUAUUUAUUUGAAUUCUCUGUUGAAACUAGUUGCCAAUCAUUUUGUGACUGAGUUCGCAUCACAAAUCAUGGAUAUUAGCCCAAUAUGAGCGUGAUUUACAAGUUUUAUCCUGUUUUAACAUGUCUUUUUUUCACUUAGAAAGUUUUAAAUUUCAAUAAUAUAGUUUAAAAACAAUGCAAGUAUUAUCAAAGAAAAAAUGUGAGGAGUGGGUACUUCCAGCCUCCGGGUGGGCGGUGAGAGCAUUCGGAGUCCUGGAGGUACCAAGACCAAAUGGGAAAGACUUGGGAGUGAUUCCACAGUUGGCUACUGAGCUGGAGACAACAAGGUGUCUACCUGACUUAGUUAUUCCCCUAAAGCCAGCACCCUGGUAUGAAGGUUGGUCAUAAGGAAGGGUAGCUUGAAUAGUUGUUGAGAUUAAAGGAGAUGAAAUACAGAGUGCAAUUUCUUAAGGCUUUUCCUUACCUAUCACUUUUCUUCCCUCCAGAUCACCCGUCUUGAGGGCAACACCUGAGCUUCUGCCUGUGCCCCGCUCCUCCUUCCAGGGAUGAGCCCACGGAUGUGGCUGAGACACCCAGGUCUCCUGACAGAAGGGGCAGGAUUUCAUUCUGUCAUCUUAUCUUCCUCACCCAGAGGGGUUGGUGAGUACCCUUGGGGCCACCACAGCAGGGAGUGUGAGUGACCCUUUCUCCAGCGCUGGGAGCUCAUCUUCUAAAAGGGUGACUGCUGUGUGUCCUCUAGAGAGGGUGAAGGGUGGAAGCUCAGCCCAUCCUGCCAC
rnacentral:tRNA from 1 species